rnacentral:rRNA from 1 species
AUUGAACGCUGGCGGCAUGCCUUACACAUGCAAGUCGAACGGCAGCAUAGGAGCUUGCUCCUGAUGGCGAGUGGCGAACGGGUGAGUAAUAUAUCGGAACGUGCCCGCGAGUGGGGGAUAACUAGUCGAAAGACUAGCUAAUACCGCAUACGUACUACGGAUGAAAGUGGGGGAUCGCAAGACCUCAUGCUCCUGGAGCGGCCGAUAUCUGAUUAGCGAGUUGGUGGGGUAAAAGCCUACCAAGGCGACGAUCAGUAGCUGGUCUGAGAGGACGACAAGCCACACUGGGACUGAAACACGGCCCAGACUCCUACGGGAGGCAGAAGUGGGGAAUUUUGGACAAUGGGGGCAACCCUGAUCCAGCAAUGCCGCGUGAGUGAAGAAGGCCUUCGGGUUGUAAAGCUCUUUUUUCAGGGAAGAAACGGUAGUAGCUAAUAUCUAUUACUAAUGACGGUACCUGAAGAAUAAGCACCGGCUAACUACGUGCCAGCAGCCGCAGUAA